rnacentral:rRNA from 1 species
CAAACAGGAUUAGAUACCCUGGUAGUCCACGCUGUAAACGAUGUCUACUAGCCGUCGGGGUCCUUAGUGACUUUGGUGGCGCAGCUAACGCGAUAAGUAGACCGCCUGGGGAGUACGGCCGCAAGGUUAAAACUCAAAUGAAUUGACGGGGGCCCGCACAAGCGGUGGAGCAUGUGGUUUAAUUCGAUGCAACGCGAAGAACCUUACCGGGUCUUGACAUCCUCGGAACUUGGCAGAGAUGCCUUGGUGCCUUCGGGAGCCGAGUGACAGGUGCUGCAUGGCCGUCGUCAGCUCGUGUCGUGAGAUGUUGGGUUAAGUCCCGUAACGAGCGCAACCCUUGUCCUUAGUUGCCAGCACGUCAUGGUGGGAACUCUAGGGAGACUGCCGGUGACAAACCGGAGGAAGGUGGGGACGACGUCAGGUCAUCAUGGCCCUUACGACCUGGGCUACACACGUGCUACAAUGGCUGGUACAGAGGGUUGCUAAGUCGCGAGGCGGAGCUAAUCCCUUAAAGCCAGUCGUAGUCCGGAUCGGAGUCUGCAACUCGACUCCGUGAAGUCGGAAUCGCUAGUAAUCGCGGAUCAGAAUGCCGCGGUGAAUACGUUCCCGGGCCUU